rnacentral:rRNA from 1 species
AGAGUUUGAUCCUGGCUCAGGACGAACGCUGGCGGCGUGCUUAACACAUGCAAGUCGAGCGAGGCCCACACCUUCGGGUGUGGUGCCCUAGCGGCGAACGGGUGAGUAACACGUGGGCAACCUGCCCCUAGCACUGGGAUAAGCCCGGGAAACCGGGUCUAAUACCGGAUAUGACGUCGGAGGGCAUCCUCCGGCGUGGAAAGGAUUCUGGCUAGGGAUGGGCCCGCGGCCUAUCAGCUUGUUGGUGGGGUGAUGGCCCACCAAGGCGACGACGGGUAGCCGGCCUGAGAGGGCGACCGGCCACACUGGGACUGAGGCACGGCCCAGACUCCUACGGGAGGCAGCAGUGGGGAAUAUUGCACAAUGGGCGAAAGCCUGAUGCAGCGACGCCGCGUGAGGGAUGACGGCCUUCGGGUUGUAAACCUCUUUCAGCUCCGACGAAGCGAAAGUGACGGUAGGGGCAGAAGAAGCACCGGCCAACUACGUGCCAGCAGCCGCGGUA